rnacentral:piRNA from 1 species
UGAGAACAGUGUUGAAAAUCCUGUUGCCUA